UACAGUUUUAAGGUGUCAUGGUACUAUUACAGAUAUUCAAAACUAAGAUGAAAAAAGAAAAAUUCAAUAGCUUCUAGUUAAAACAGCUUGCCAACCAUCACAAGAUAAAAGCACUGAUAUUAGC